rnacentral:rRNA from 1 species
CCCUUAGAUGUUCUGGGCUGCACGCGCGCUACACUGAAGCUAUCAACACGUUUUCCCUCCCUGAGAAGGGCGGGUAACCUUUUGAAUCAGCUUCGUGGUAGGGAUCGGGGCUUGCAAUUGUUCCCCGUGAACCAGGAAUUCCUAGUAGACGCGAGUCAUAAGCUCGCAUCGAUUAAGUCCCUGCCCUUUGUACACACCGCCCGUCGCUACUACCGAUUGAACGUUUUAGUGAGGCAUUUGGACCGACGCAUCUCAGUUUAAUCGCUGGUUUGUGUUGGAAAGACUUCCAAACUUGAGCGUUUAGAGGAAGUAAAAGUCGUAACA